AUUGAACGCUGGCGGCAGGCCUAACACAUGCAAGUCGAGCGGAUGAAGGGAGCUUGCUCCUGGAUUCAGCGGCGGACGGGUGAGUAAUGCCUAGGAAUCUGCCUGGUAGUGGGGGAUAACGUCCGGAAACGGGCGCUAAUACCGCAUACGUCCUGAGGGAGAAAGUGGGGGAUCUUCGGACCUCACGCUAUCAGAUGAGCCUAGGUCGGAUUAGCUAGUUGGUAGGGUAAAGGCCUACCAAGGCGACGAUCCGUAACUGGUCUGAGAGGAUGAUCAGUCACACUGGAACUGAGACACGGUCCAGACUCCUACGGGAGGCAGCAGUGGGGAAUAUUGGACAAUGGGCGAAAGCCUGAUCCAGCCAUGCCGCGUGUGUGAAGAAGGUCUUCGGAUUGUAAAGCACUUUAAGUUGGGAGGAAGGGCAGUAAGUUAAUACCUUGCUGCUUUGACGUUACCAACAGAAUAAGCACCGGCUAACUUCGUG
rnacentral:rRNA from 1 species